UACAGAGGUCCCGAGCGUUGUUCGGAUUCAUUGGGCGUAAAGAGCGCGCAGGCGGUUUGGUAAGUCGGAUGUGAAAUCCCGGGGCUCAACCCCGGACCUGCAUCCGAUACUGCCCGACUAGAGGUAGGUAGGGGAGAUCGGAAUUCCUGGUGUAGCGGUGAAAUGCGCAGAUAUCAGGAGGAACACCGGUGGCGAAGGCGGAUCUCUGGGCCUUACCUGACGCUCAGGCGCGAAAGCUAGGGGAGCGAACAGG
rnacentral:rRNA from 1 species